GACGAACGCUGGCGGCGUGCUUAACACAUGCAAGUCGAACGGAAAGGCCCUGCUUUUGUGGGGUGCUCGAGUGGCGAACGGGUGAGUAACACGUGAGUAACCUGCCCUUGACUUUGGGAUAACUUCAGGAAACUGGGGCUAAUACCGGAUAGGAGCUCCUGCUGCAUGGUGUGGGUUGGAAAGUUUCGGCGGUUGGGGAUGGACUCGCGGCUUAUCAGCUUGUUGGUGGGGUAGUGGCUUACCAAGGCUUUGACGGGUAGCCGGCCUGAGAGGGUGACCGGCCACAUUGGGACUGAGAUACGGACCAGACGCCUACGGGAGGCAGCAGUGGAGAAUAUUGCGCAAUGGGCGGAAGCCUGAUGCAGCAACGCCGCGUGCGGGAUGACGGCCUUCGGGUUGUAAACCGCUUUCGCCUGUGACGAAGCGUGAGUGACGGUAAUGAGUAAGGAAGCACCGGCUAACUACGUG
rnacentral:rRNA from 1 species